GUGCCCGCGCGGGCAUGCGAAAUCGCACAGUGCGCGAUGCCGCAGUCUCAAUCGAGCUGGCGAGCUGCCUCGUCAUGUGAGUCUAGCAACGCAGACGGGAUGGCAGAAACCACGAUGACGGCCGAGCGGCAGAUGGCGGGUAUCAAGAGUCGCGAGCGACUGCGACGGGAUCAAGAGAGGCAGCUACGGCAACUCCCAUUUCUGUACCACCGCGUCAAAGAUCUUCAUGACACGUGCGAGCGGCUGGAGCAGGAGCUCGCGAGCUCGCAUCAGCGAGUGGCCGCCUUUCAGCAGGAAGCGUUUGCUCUGCGCAGCCUCAUCAAGUUCACCGAGCAUCCUGAGCUAGCCGCGGCGGCAAAGGACGAUGCAGCCAAGCACGUGCUGCAAGAAGAGGUGAGGGAACUGCGAAACCAGGUUCAAAGGCUGCAGCGCGAGAAGGAACUGUCACUGCGUCAGUCUGAGGAGGCGUGCGAGGCUGCAGAGUUUUACAAGGAGCUCUGCGAUCAGCUCUACGAGGAGUCUCUGCGUGCCGCGGAGGCAAUCGCGGUCGAUGGCGCUACGUCGGGCUUGGAAUGCAUUGUGACACCACUGCCGAACGGAAACAUCGAUGACGCGACGCUCUCCGCCUCUACUGCCCCGUCUACGGCGACCUCGAUGGAAGCGCAGAUGAGGCAGCUGCACGGGGCCCUGGAAUUCGAGCGAGCGCGGUCGUCGGCGCUCGAGGAGACGGUGAGUUUGCUUCACACUGCCAUGAAAGCGACCACUGCCGCUGACACUAAGCGCUCUACUCCUGCGCCAGACAGCUCUGCAGGGUGGGCAGAGAGGCGCAGAGGGGACGACACUAGUGCCGUCUACGCCAGCCGUUCUCACGUGUUCGCAGACGACACCCGAAAGAGUAGGACCCGGCUAAAGCGACUUGUGGCCGUUCUGCGCAUCGAGAAUCGUCUUUUGACGCAGCGGGUGUCAGAGGUGGUCGCGCGCAACAUGCGCUGCGUCAAGGACAUUUCGGCCCUAAAGCUGGCCAACAAACGCCUUGAGCUGAACCAGCGGCAAGAGAGCUAGCAUCCUAGGCUGCCCGCUUUCGAAUCACCAAAGCACACCUGCUCUGUCCACGCCACUCUCCGUGCCGUUCGCCUUCUUGGGCCCUGAUAGCUUCCUUUUCCUUUUCGUCCGCUUCUGCUUCUGUGCUCUCGCUGCCGUUUUUUUUUUUUACUUCCCCGUCCACUGUGUCUGUGUGUGUGUGUGUUUUCGCGUAUUGCUCCUCGUUGACUCUGCUCUGUAGACACGUAUCAUGCCUCUGAAACUGUCUCACUCCACGGGCGGAGCAAAAGAGAGGGGAGGAGGAACGCCAUAGUACUUCUGCAGCGAUGACAGCUGCGGUUGCUGCUCCUGCCGUUUCCCUCGCUCGCCUUUCCCAUGUGCACUCAAGGCAAAGCUCACCUGCAAGCUCUGGCUGGUAUGGUGGCUGUUCACCUUUUCGUCCACGUGUUUGUGCUUGUGCGUAUGUGCGAUGCAUCGAGGAAAUGUAUGAGCAUGCCAUGUUUCCGUCUCCGCCACUGCUACGCGAUUUUACAUCGCGUCAGUGGAGUGGGCUUUCAUUGUCUUCCUUCCUGGACGGCCUUCCUUUGCGUCUACUUUGCACACGUGCCCCGUCUUCCACCUCCCUAUUCUUGCAUCUCCCAG
rnacentral:misc_RNA from 1 species